rnacentral:rRNA from 1 species
AUUGAACGCUGGCGGCAUGCCUUACACAUGCAAGUCGAACGGCAGCACGGGGGGUAACCCCUGGUGGCGAGUAGCGAACGGGUGAGUAAUAUAUCGGAACGUGUCCUGUAGCGGGGGAUAACCUAUCGAAAGAUGGACUAAUACCGCAUACGACCUACGGGUGAAAGCGGAGGACCGCAAGGCUUCGCACUAUAGGAGCGGCCGAUAUCGGAUUAGCUAGUUGGCGGGGUAACGGCCCACCAAGGCGACGAUCCGUAGCUGGUCUGAGAGGACGAUCAGCCACACUGGAACUGAGACACGGUCCAGACUCCUACGGGAGGCAGCAGUGGGGAAUUUUGGACAAUGGGCGCAAGCCUGAUCCAGCCAUGCCGCGUGAGUGAAGAAGGCCUUCGGGUUGUAAAGCUCUUUCGGCGGGGACGAAACGGUUCGUGCUAAUACCACGGACUACUGACGGUACCCGCAGAAGAAGCACCGGCUAACUACGUG